GCUGGCGGCGCGCCUAAUGCAUGCAAGUCGAGCGACGCAUAUCGGAGGAGUAAUCCACUGAUAUGACGGAGCGGCGAACGGGUGAGUAUCACGUGAGAAACCUGCCCCGAAGACCGGGAUAGCCCGGGGAAACCCGGAUUAAUACCGGAUACCCUCUACAGAUCGCAUGGUCUGUUGAGGAAAGGCCUUUGCGCUUCGGGAUGGUCUCGCGACCUAUCAGCUAGUUGGUGAGGUAACGGCUCACCAAGGCAACGACGGGUAGCUGGUCUGAGAGGACGAUCAGCCACACUGGGACUGAGACACGGCCCAGACUCCUACGGGAGGCAGCAGCAGGGAAUCUUGUCCAAUGGGCGCAAGCCUGAGACAGCGACGCCGCGUGGGGGAUGAAGGCCUUCGGGUUGUAAACCCCUUUCAGGAGGGACGAAAUUGACGGUACCUCCAGAAGAAGCCCCGGCCAACUACGUGCCAGCAGCCGCGGUAAUACGUAGGGGGCGAGCGUUGUCCGGAAUUAUUGGGCGUAAAGGGCUC
rnacentral:rRNA from 1 species